rnacentral:rRNA from 1 species
UACGAAGGGGGCUAGCGUUGUUCGGAAUUACUGGGCGUAAAGCGCACGUAGGCGGAUAUUUAAGUCAGGGGUGAAAUCCCAGAGCUCAACUCUGGAACUGCCUUUGAUACUGGGUAUCUUGAGUAUGGAAGAGGUAAGUGGAAUUGCGAGUGUAGAGGUGAAAUUCGUAGAUAUUCGCAGGAACACCAGUGGCGAAGGCGGCUUACUGGUCCAUUACUGACGCUGAGGUGCGAAAGCGUGGGGAGCAAACAGGGAUUAAGAAACCCU